GCGGCCAAUCGCCGGCAGUCGUUGCUAGUGUGAUGUCGGGACCUCACGCACACCACUAAGAUUUAUCAUUAGAGUUUUUGACGUUCACUAACCGGAGUAGUGUUACUUCACUACGAUACGUUUGAUACCUGAAUAUUUUUUACUUAAUUAAUUAACCGUAGUUAUCAAAAUUAGUGCCGCGCUUUAACAAUACAGUGCUAGUUCGCGACAUAAUCUGUGACAAUUCUUGGAACUACACGUCGAGACAAGAGACCUUGAUAACUAGUUACUUGGACGAGCGAGAGCGAAGAAACAGUUCACAGUUAUUAUUAUAGGAUCAUUCAUGCUGGAGGUACGUCUAUAGUUUACAAUUUGUGAAGUACAUCGUGUGUGUUUUCGAAUCAGUCGAUCGGUAUUAAGUUAAAAAGUGAGGUUUAGUGCGUUCAAAGUUCAUGAAAGUACACUCUGAAAGUGGGAAGUGUAAUGUUAUAAAACGAAACGAGUUAUGACGAAGUUAAUAUAAAUGUGCGUUUUGAUAUUGUCGCGUGCGGAAGGACCGCUGUGAGGUGUCCGCGGCCGCGGCCUAUUCGUACAGUGCCAUGGACAUCGGCGGAGAAAACGCCAUACGUAUAGGCGGUCCCCAGAAUGAGGAACAACUGAAUAUUAGUGAUGUUUUUGAGGCGAUUACUUUGGCGGAUCCGUCGUUCGGCGCGGGCGCAGGCGCCGGCAUAGACGAGAGCAUGGCGCGCCGCGACCAGCCCUACGUCGAGAUAGUCGAGCAGCCGGCCAGCAAGGCGCUCAGAUUUCGCUACGAGUGCGAAGGCCGGUCUGCAGGUUCGAUACCCGGCGUGAACAGCACGUCAGACAACAAGACUUACCCUACUAUUAGGAUAUGUGGCUUCACAGGACAGGUCGUCAUCGUCGUGUCCUGUGUCACCAAAGAUGAGCCUUACAGGGCACACCCCCACAACUUAGUGGGUCGUGAACGCUGCGAGCGAGGAGUCUGCACGAUCCCGACCCUCAUCACGAAGGAAACAUGCGAGUACCAGUUCAAGAACCUCGGCAUUCAGUGCGUGAAACGGCGCGACAUUGCCGAGGCACUCACAGUCAGGGAGAAGCUUAGAGUCGAUCCCUUUAGAAAAAACUUCGAUCACAAGAAUCACCCACAAAGCAUCGACUUGAACGCAGUUCGGCUAUGCUUCCAAGUGUUUCUGCCGGACGACUCGGGGCGGCUGCGUCGGCCGCUAGCCCCGGUCGUCUCCGACGUCAUCUACGACAAGAAGGCCAUGAGCGACCUGCUCAUCAUGAGGUCCAGCCACUGUUCUGGUACCGCUAGGGGUGGCACGCAGGUCAUUCUGCUUUGUGAGAAAGUAACCCGAGAAGACAUAGAAGUAGUGUUCUACCAGGAGGAGAACGGCAUCGUGGUGUGGGAGGAGAUGGCCAUCCGCAUCCUCGUGCACAAGCAGGUCGCCAUAGCCUUCGAGACGCCCGCCUACAAGUACCCCAACACCACGGACCAUGUUCAUGUCCACUUCCAGCUGAAGCGUCUGUCGGACAACGCCCGCAGCAACUCCCUGCCGUUCGAGUACAUCCCCGAGUUCACAGGUACCGCCCGCAAGCCCAGCCCCGACCUGUCCCUCUUCUCCCUCCUCCUCCGCCCCGACCCCAACAACAACACCAAGCCCGAGCCCGUCUCCUCCUCCACCGACAGCGCCACUCCCUCCGACGCCUCCGACUCCGCCCCGGGCGACGUCACCGUAGUACCCGACGUGCCCGACGUCACCGACGUACCCGACGUCAACGGCAACAUACCCACCACCGACGUCGAAAUCAUCGACACUAACGAGAAAAGCCUCAACGAACUCCUCGACCAGGUUGCCGAGCUAGACGAGAUAUACUCAGAGAACCGCACCCGCCUUGAGAACAUCGCCUCGCUCAACAACGAUAGCGAGGAGAUUGAAGAUUUUAACGACGCCGGCACUUACACCAGCUUACAACUCGCGUUCAAAAACCCCGUAGAGAUCUCUGAGCCCGACCCCAUGUCUUACGAAGAUGUACAAGUCCAAACAUACCGCGGUCCCAUCAUCGAGUUCAGUCCUCUAAAGCGCGACACAGACGACGAACGUGCCCCACCACUUCCUCCCAAACGUGUCCGCAAGGCCACCUCUACUGAACCGUUCAAAACCAGUCAGACUUCCGUAGACAGUAUCUUGAAACCUGGUCGUCAAAUACCCCUCACUCGCAACCUCGAUCAUUUGAAACUCAACUCCGAAAUGACGGUCGCUAAGAGCGAGCCCGCGUUACCUCCGGUAAAGAAACGUUCGUUCUUCUCCCGUCUCUUCAGGAGAAAGGAGAAAUCUCCCGCUCCUAGUGUGAAAUCUGAGGGCAGGAAAGAGGCCAAAUCUAAGCCUGUAGGCCGCUCAGUCAGUAGUGUAUCUGGUGUCCGUCCAUCCAAGUUUAAGUCCUCAGUAUCCCACACUUCUCUGAAAGACAAUGCAUCUGGUACUGGCCUAAGUUACGCCGACAGUAUCACUCACAUCUCUCUCCACGGAGAUGACAAUGAGAAGUCUACUUCUCAAUCUUCUUUACGUCGUCCAGCCAGCUUGGCUCCCCUGCCACCGACAGAUGGCGGCACUAUCCUCGUAGCCGAGAGUGUUCUAGCCUUAGACGCUUCUCAGUUCAAGAAGUUACAGGACGACCUGGAUCUGACAGACGCAGAACAUUAUGCGUUGUAUAUGGCAGUAGCCCCGCAUGCCACAGUGUCGGAGUUCGAUGAAACUAGUUGCUACUACUCGCCCAUAGAUGCCAGCAAGUUUCAAAAUCAAUAGACCGACAAACUGGCAGAUUUAAUUUAAUCGUCCAUUGUACGGAAUAAAGAGGUUUUGAGAGUCAGCGGCUUAGAGAAAGAUGGUUUAUUUUGUCUACCAUCGUGAAAAUCGGUGCCGAAUCUUUCUAAGAUGUAGAAGUUUCCCAACGAAGGUCUAAAUUUCCGCCCAAGAUGCCAAAUUUACUCAACUUUUUACAGAUUUUCGACGAUUUUACAUACUGUGAAAUGUGAAUGUAAUGUUCUUGUAUAAUUAUGAUCCACUUUCUUUCUUACCACUUAAUUAUUUGAAAAACUGUAUGAUUGUUAUUAUUUGUAAUUUAUGUUUAACGUAACAACUUGAAUGUUCUAGAUGUGAGUAAUAAGAGGCGGAAGGUGGUAAGCGACAUGUUACGAAACUACGAAAUUGACAGAAUCUAUUCACCGGAGCAGAUCAAGUCGGAACCAAGAGACCGGACUCCGCCACACCAUAACAUUAGCAGUCCGCCACUCCACGGCUACGCGCCGCCCUACGAACAGAAUUGGAACAUAGACAACCUGCAGGGCGGCAUGGCAGUCCCGGGCCCGAGCCACGUCAGCCCGGCGGCAGCCGCCCACGGCAACCUGUUCGUGCAGGAGUCGGCCAUGUGGGCCAACCCGCAGUACGGCCAGCUGUCCCCUGGCCAUAUGCAGCCUGGCAUGCCCCAGAACUUACAAGUGUUACAGCCCAAUAUGCAGGCCAUGUCUCCCAGUAUGCAGCCUAUGUCGCCCAACAUGCAGCCGCUGUCACCCAACAUGGCGUACGGAGAACGCAUGUCGCCCAACGUGGCCGUCAUGUCACCCCACGGCCAGGUCAUGUCUCCCCACGGCCAGGCCCUGCCUUCCCACGCCCCCGGCAUGUCCCCGCACGGGCCCGGCAUACAGGCCAUGUCUCCCCUCGGCCGCGUGUCGCCCAACGUGCAGCAGAACAUGGGCCACAUCUCGCCUAACCUACAGCAGCAGCCUGCUUAUGUACAGCAGCCUCCUCAGCACCAAGCGGCGGCUGGGUCGCUGAUGGAGACGGAGACGCACAGCACGACGUCGCUGAGCAACCUGCUGCUGGACCGCGGCGAGCACUCGCUGCUGCUGAACUCGGGCGAGCUGGCCGGCCUGUCCGCGCUGCUCGGCGACCGCGCGCACGACUCGCAGCCCGCGCUCGACUACUGAACACGCACCAUACAGUCAAAACAAUAUUUCAAAAUAUGUGUUACAUGUUUCUUGACUCAUUUCAAGGAUUUCUAGCCGAUUUUGGAAACUCCAUCCAUUUUGUAUUUGAAUUUCGCAAUAUUUUUGUAACCUUGUCACCCCGAGUCCGCGGGUAAGAUAAGGCUUGUUUGGUAUCUCGUUUAUGGACUAUAUCAUCUGUCUAACUAAAUACUAAUGAAUGUUCUUGAAAUUAUCCUCAAUUUCCUAGGACUCCGUGGAAUGCGUAACGUUAAGAAAUGCCGAUUUAGGACAUUAAUUUAAUGUAAUAAAUAAGUUUGAAAGUAAGCUACAGUAGCACUCUAGUUUAUAAACGAAUUUAAUUCUCGGACUUUACGUAAUACGCGACCGCGACGAUGCGACGGACGCUGACUUCGGCUUGUAAGUAAUCUAAGACUUCUAUGUUUAUUAUUAACGUCAAAUAGUUUUAUUUGUACCGAUCUGGGAUUUUGUAAGAAGUACACAAUGUUAUGGAGCUUGAUACGCAGCUUUGUCAGAUGUUUUCACCAGUUUCUUUAUUAGCAAGCUAACUAACCUACUCUAACUAAUACAGCCGUUUUAGUGUGCUUUUUAUUUUAUUAACAUCAUAUUUGUGUUAAAAAUGUCUUCCGAGUUUGAACGUACAUUUAACAUUAUUAUAUUUUAACACGAACUGUCUUCCAGAUGUUGUAUUAAUUCAUAGUAGAUGAUCUCUGAAUACUGUAACAUCACAUUUUUUACAUAUUUGGUGCUUUUACUAACUUUUUAUUUUGUGUUUUGAAACAUUUACAACCUGGAAAAUUAAACCAGAAAAUAAUAUAAAAGGAAUUAAUCAAAUUCUUAUUUAUUGUUAAAAGUUUAUUAGAGCAAAAAUUUAUGUAAAUAUCGAGAUAUUUUUAACUUCGUAAUUAUUAUUUUCUGCUUUAAAUUUUAAUCAUGUUAACAUUUAAGCGAGAAUGUAACUCGAUAGUUAAGUGAGAUGUUUAACUUCCAAUACCGUUUCUACUUGAUAGAAAUGACUAUCUGGGAAUCUGUUAUAGGAUAGCAUGCGAUUUUGUUCACAAAAUACGUACUAUGAAAUUUGUGUCACGAGUGCUGUAGUAAUACUUGGUCUUAUUAACUUUGAUAAAACGGGAAACUAAUAUACAAGACUUACCUACAUUUCAUAUACAUAUAUACCAGAAGUUUUGUAACAUUCAUAAAUUGAUGGUUGCAUGAGCUAACUGCCGCGUGUAACUCAAGUGACAAUAUAAGGACUUUAAUUCUUAUUGUCGUGACAACUGUUCAGGCAGGACUGGAAAGGACAUCAUGCUUGUAAUAAAAUAGCAUGUUGUAUGAAAUAUUAACUAUUUCCUUGCCUAGCCUGAGUGCUCUGAGAUUUCAUAAUUCAAUGAAAUUAAGUUACGGGAUAAUUUAUAUUUACUGAAAUGUGUCAUGUGAUACGGAGUAAUGAGAAGUGGCAAAAUGACGACUUGACUAGAAUUACUUUUUAUAAUUUCCCAAUACUACUCCCAAAAUGAGUGAUAAAGCUUACAUUUUAUUACUUUCUAAAGAUAAUGAGAUUUUGUAAAUCUUGAGUUUAAUGAAAUUAGUUUGUUUAAAGAUUUAUUCUCAUUAAGUUGUAGUUUUAUUAUUAAAUGCUUUUUUGGUUAUGAUUUGUUACCAAAUAGUUUGUAAAUAGAUGUUUUCUAAAAGAAAAGAGAGGGAAUAGUAAUAAAUUAUGUUGUACACGGAAGAUUUUUAAAAUUACCGGCAACUUUUUUUAAAUGUGUUUUAAAGACUUAAUUACCAUUAAAUAAAAGCCAGAAUACUUAGCACUUUGAUAAUUUUCAUUCCAUUCUUAAAUGUUUUUAAAACAAUAGAUUUACGAGACUUUGUUUCCUUACAGAGAGAUGAACUAAAUUGUUUCAUACUUACGCUAGAACUUAUGACUACGAUAAUUAUAAAAACAUCCUCGAUUUAGUUAUGUUAAGUAAGAGAUCAGACAUCACAACGUUGGUACAGUAAUGAUCGAAUGUGUAGGUAAUAUGAAAGCAUUCAAAAUGCCAGUUUUGUUAUAUUUUUGAAAAAAAAAUACAAUAAAAGUAUAAUAUUUGAAAAA